rnacentral:lncRNA from 1 species
GGGGCUGGGCGCCCUCCCCACCCCCACGAGGGCCGCGGCCGUGGGGCGCUGGUAGCUCUCCCGCCCCUCCGCCCUGCACCCCUCCCGCCCUAGGGCUCUUUCCUGGACUGCGGCUGCAGCCUUCUCUUCCCGGAGGGCUCAGAGUUCGUCCCCUUUUCGCGAUUGGGAACGUGGACACGCCGGAGCCUGGAUGCAGAAGGGCGCGCGGGAACAGGGAGCUGGUGCGCGAGCCGCAGCCCAGCGUCCAGGCCGCCCCACUCUCUGCUGAUCCAAAGGACUAGGGAAACCCUGCGCGCCGACGGUGGCCUGGACGUUGGCGCGGGCCCUGGCGCUAAAAAACGGAUCCCAUUUCCAGAAAGGCGGGCCGGGUAUCCCGCUCCUGCCUCCUGGAGAAUUAGCUCGGCGGAGGUCGACCAGCCGGGUAGGGAGGGAGGGAUGGAGGGACAGGCCUAGGGUCGACCAGCCGGAUAGGGAGUAGCUUCUGGGAGCUCCCUUGCCUACGGAGGGCCGGUGAGGCUGCCCUCAGAGCGCCGCCAGGUACGUGCUUUUUCCUUGUUUCCCGCGCGCCCAGAGCACACUCUGGGGAGGGAAGGAAUAAAAACCCAGCUGGUGUGUAGGAGAUUUUCGCACCAAACGUGUCUUUCUGAGGGGUCCUGGGACGGUAGCCGAACUCGGGGUAGCCUCCUGAGCUGUAUUCUGGAAUCCCUACUGGGCUCUCCACCACCCGUAAGACGGGCUUGGAGCCAGUUCCUGUGGAAAUGCGCGUCACUUUCUUCAGAGGCCCACGAAAUUCAUCCAGGACUCCAUGGGUACUACAGCAAGAUGGCUCUGUUUCGAAGUGGUUCAUACAGUUAUCCCCCAACCCGGAAACCUAGAAUUCUCGUUUUCUGAACCGGGAUGUUUACUUUAGGGAAACCUGGUCUUGGCUUCUGCUGCGCGCCGGGUGUCUAGGAACGAAUCCCUCCUGGAUCCGGGAACCCCAGAUUUGCGGGGUUAGGAGAUACCCUCAGAGUUGUGGUUUUUUGUUGGUGGUGGUUUGUUAAGAGCCUGGUAGCUGAACUGGAGCGGGCCCCGUCCCCUCCCCCAUACCCACUUCAAACAAAAGAGCUCCUCCGAGAAUAUUUUUUAAGGGGAAAGCGCUUCUGAAUGUGGACCCUCAGUUCUCCCCGCCCCCCGUUCCGAGGAAGGACAAGGGUUUUAUAUGUGUGUUUAAAACAAAGGCGAAGCUAGACGCGAGUUGCCGGGAAAGGGCCGCUUUUAUUUUAAAGUUCUUGAAGAAUUCACUUUCUUUUCUCCCAAGUUAGCUGCAGCUGAGCCAGAAGCGUCCCCACUGGCUUACCCGAUAGUGGGAUUUUACACGGUGUCGGCUAAGGGUGGCUUUGUGAGAAGACCAUUUCAGAAGAAGAAACGGGGCUCUGGCUGGUGGGGUAGAAACCCCUAUGGAAUGAAAAGUACUCCCAGUCUCUUUGAGGAAGAUUGCAAAGUAAGGUGGGUUGUUUUUCUUUUGUCCCAUCCUUCCCACCCCUUAAAUUAGAAGAAAAGGCCCCCAAGCGUGCAGCACCAGGUGGACGUUUGGAAGCUGCGAGUGGAAUCUCGUUUAAAAACUUCCGGCCCCACGCACACCAAGUAUCCAUCUUCGUCGUAGUUGGGGUGAGGAAGAGUGUGACUUCCCUACCCAGAGUCUGGUUGAGCACGGAUCCCGCCGAGGAGAGAAGGGUCCCGGCCGGGGGGAAGGUCCCUCUUUCUGGGACAAAGCGAUCCUUAAUUGUGGCCACCUUCCAAAGUCCGGGGCGAAUUCGCUACGCGCGUCUGCCCGGGCGGCGCUUGGUGGGUAGUCCCGCUUCCACCAAAACUCUGUGUUUCCUUUCUCUCAAAAUAAAACUCAACAAGCCAUAAAGCUUCCGACGCCGGUGGAGAAGGCGCCGCGGAUUUAUGGCCCCUGAAUUCCCUACUCUCUAAUUAUCCUUGUUUUUACUUGACUUAUGGGUAGUGACCAAUAAAAUCAUUUUCCAUUUUGGAUUUUU